AAUCCUGCCGCUGCCCAGUCUGCAGCUGCGCUCGGGACAUCCCGGAGGAGGGAUGCUGCGCGAUGCCCCUCUCCUCCCGAUGAACACGACUGAGUCCGGAUGGUCGUGAACAUGUGAAAGGACGACUUGCUGAAUAUGAUGGGCAACGUGUAUGAGUGGGGGCCAGCCGGACUGAAUGUGGCCCCAGGCUCGACAGGGACAGAUGGUGCAGGUUUAGCAGCAGUGACUCAGCAACAAAUCCUGCCUCACUUACAGAAGAAGACGCCAGGGAUGCAUCUGUGCUUUCUCUCUGCAAGUAUUCUGUUGUGCUUCUACUACACAUGUCUGUGAAGAUCCUCAGCCGACCAGGGUCUUUCUAAAGGCGUUUCCCCUCCCAUUGGGAAGGCCCCCUUCAGACGUAACCGACUCGAGUACCAGGUAUGAAAGCGCGAGAGUCGUUGAGGUCAAAUGUGAGUCGUUAGGGUCGUGUGACUCGCGCUGUGGAUGGGUGUUAAAAGACGCUCGGGAGGGAGGGACCUCAAGACGGCGUCACAAGUGGCUGAUAAGUAGUGUUGUAGACCUCCUCUGUUGAGGAGUGAUGGUUGUUCCAGUGUGACGUUGGACGUCAGACAUUGCUGUCCUCACAUGAGCGACCUUAGCCCCUCAGAUGUGGACUGUUGAGUCCUGAAACCGCAGAGUCGACCGAGGGUUGACGAGCUUUCUUACCGUUUGUUCUAUACACCAGUGCAGUGACGUGAAGGCGUCAGCUCAUCCCACCAGAGCACUGGACCGAGUGCCUCGAUAAGUCACAUUUCGGAUACAGUAACAUCGUCCCUGUUUUCAAAAUGGUACCCUCCUCUUCCAUUCGUCACACACUUUGAUCUCCAGAAUUCUUUAAAGGGGCAGGAAGCGAUGUUGUUGAAGGCUUGUCUCUCUCUGUUGUUGUUGAUGGUUUUAAUGAACAUUACAGUGAGUCCAGUGAACUUCAGUCAUGUCGACAUGGAGCAGAAACUCAACGGAGAGAACUGAGGUGACCAGCGGAGGAGGAGGUCAAUGGAACCACGGCGCAGCCAUGUUCCUUUAAUCGCGCCUCUGCGUUUUUGGGCCUUGUAUGGACGAAUAUAAAAGACACGGCGAUGAGAAAAGUGUGGGGCAGGAUGUCCCUGGCUGCACAUUAGAAGGGGAACCUAUAAGGGAGAAGGUCUGAGGACCCUGGGGGCCCGCUGGAAGACCCCGACGGAAAAAAAAAAGCGACAAUCCCAGUUCUUCUUGCUGUUACAAAAUUAGCCGCAGGCACUUUUUCACGCAGCCCACUUCCAUAUGCCAUUUGUGUCACUUAGAGCAAACUGGUCAUUUUCUUGGCAGCUGCAGUUUUUUUUUUUUUUGUUGUUUUUUUAAAGCCUGUUGGCACCCUGCUGUUGUAGUCUACCAUCCUCUGGAAAGAAAAGAGAAAAGAAGAAGAAGAAAGGAAUGAUGGCCCCUAUUAUAUCCUCACAUGUGAGGGGAGAGUGUCCCGGAGGGGGCUGGGGCUUGGCUUCAUUGGCUGAAAGCGGCACUUUUUCUUUUUUUUUUAGGAUUUAGCGUCUUGUAAAUGUGCACCCCCACUUUUUUUCUUCCCUGACGGCAUGAAUGGCUUUUUUUUUUACCUCUUUUUUUAAAUUAUGUUUCCAUGAGGCUCAACCUGUUGCUCCAGGCCUACCGUACCAGUCCAGCUCCGGUACGGUAAAGGCCGGUACCAUCGAGGACUGAUGGGAAUAUAGUGUUUCCGUAGUCGCUCAGUUUAGUGUCCGGCGGUGCAACGUGCUGCGGGAAUAAGACGACCCACAAGGAGACCCAGAAAAACAAAAGGCCCAGCUCUUCCGCUCUGCGUCCAGGUGGUGGCGGCAGUCACGUUACCUACAGUCAUGGCAAUGUGGACGUGAACGCAGGACUACAUGUUCAAGCAUUGAUCUCUAAAGGAUGUGAUGAUAGAAUACGUGAAGAAGAAGAAGAAGAAGAAAAAGUUUCAUCAUUAGUGUCGCCUUUUUGUGUUUUCGCCACACGCGCCUGAAUAUGUAUUUAUUUAUUGGAGUUAUUUAUUGGACAUAAUCACGAAGCGCAAUCAAAUUAGAUUUAGCUGGUUUCAUUUGUAAUCUAAAUAUUUGCCUUACAAGCCUGUGUUUAGGAGAGUAGCCUAAAUUAUUUUGUGUUCAUUCUCAGGUUUGCUGUACUUUGACAACAGAGCUGCAUGAUCAUGAGUUUUUAUUUUAUUUUAUUAUUGCAGGUGAGGUGCUGCAGACUGGGGUCAUUUGCCCUGUGAGGACAGACGGGGCAGGUUUUUUGAUGAGAGCUAACUAACGCGUGGUGACAUCAAACAUGCCGACGAACCUCCGCACGUUGCCGAAGGAAUGAGGAUGAAGACGUCUCUCUCUUUCCCCGUGUGUGGCAGAUACUAUUUGUGUCACUGCGGAAAAUGCAAGCUCAGCCUGAGCCAUGUGGACGCGCUCGGUCGAUGGCGUCUGUCCCGCCCGCUCGACUCUCCGUCCCUGGAGGAACGGCGGCCCUCCGGGCGACCCCUCCGUGACCCCUGAGCCAGGGCCUCUCCUCCCGCCUGGUCCCGAAUUAGGCCACGAGGAAGGGAACCAGAAAUAAUCAUUUCGUUUAUCGUGGUCGUGAAGAUUUAUUUGUUUUAUUCUAUUCUUUAUCACAAUGCCAUUUUUCGUAAUGACUACACAGCCAGGCUCACGUGAAACAGAUAUUAUAUUAUUUGACCCCAUUUCCUGAAAAGGCAAAACAUGCUCCAUUUUGAUGAGAGAAUUUAAAUAGAAUUAAAUAUUGAUCUUAUAUUUAGUAGUAACUAAAAUAUAUUAUUGAAUUAAUUUUAAAAAUUUAAUUAUUUAUUAAGUUAAGUAUUAUUUUCAGAAUAAGGUGUAAUAUGUGUGAAAAGGCCAUAAUUAGGAACCGUCUAGGCAACAGCAUCCUCGAAACGUUACAAAAAAGUAUUUGUAUAAAUGAGAUCAUUUAAAAUAACUUUUAGGCCUAAAAUGUUCUUUAUGUAUUUAUUUAUUUAUUCAAUAUUUUCGUGCUUUUACUUUUUAAGUAAAUUAUCAGGCUUAAACGGUGACUGCGUUUACAGGAAUUAAAUUAUAAGAAUAACAAUGUGGGGAAUAAAAAGGUUAAACGUGAAGGAUCAAAUUAGAGAUUUCUUUUAUUUUAUUCAGGUUUGAGGAGCUCGGCGGCGUCAGAUGAGACCACAAACCUUCCGUCUUCACGGAGGAGCCCCGAGCCCCGAGGUCGAUAUGGAAGUUAUCUUAUCAACAAAACAAAAGGAUAAACAUAAAACAGCACCACUCGCACACUACCCAGACUCAUAUCAAGGUCAAACAGGCUGUUUACGCGAUACAUUUCAAAAUAAAAGCCCCCCCGUAUGUACGAUAUAUGACAAAUCAUAUGAUAAUUCCUGGAGAGAGAUCGGUGUGUGUGUGUGUGUGUGUGUGCUCCAUCGGGAUCAGAACGAGUCAAGAGUUCAUUAUGAGUUCUGCAGCACUUCAUGGGUCCGACUCGAGUAUUUUCUUUGUACUAGAAUAAAUCUGACGACAUUUUGUAUUCGAUCAAUAUUUCUUUGUUGCACUGUCUCACAGUUGCUUUUUUUUUUUUUAAUGGAAUUUCAAAAAUGUUUUUCUUAUUAUUAAAUUCCUUGGCAAUAUCAUGAUUAUUUUGAUUGUUGAUUGUUGUUUUUAUGAUCAUGUUUGCUCUUUCCAAAAAAGAAAGAAGAAGAAAAAAACGAAGAAGCUUGAGCUCCUGCAUCAACAAAAACGCCUUGAGUGACAAAGGUGAGAUUCGUUUCUCGUCUGCGGUGUCUCUGGACCAACACGACUGAAGUUCGGACUCUCACAGGCCGGUGAUCACUGGACCCGAGUCGUGUCCUUUAUGGAACCAUCACCCGAACAUGUGUCUUUGUUAAAGGUGCUGUAAUUGAAUGUGUCACGGGACAGUAAAAUGGUUGUUGUUUUAAAAAUGAUUCUUACACAAACAAGAAAAUGUGUACAUGAGGCAGUGACCCAUGAAAAAAAAAUUACGUUUAUUGAACAAUAAUUGAUUUUUUUUUUAAAUAGUCUAAAAAAACAUAAUGUGCUGUAUAAUAUUAGACUUUGUCGUCCAAGUGGCUAAUUUGCCUUGGACAUGUGUCUACAGUAUAAAAAAACAUGGUGAAAAAACAAUGAAUACAUUCAUCCGUCGUCAAUAAAAUGCAUAUUUAGUGCAACAUAAACAUGAAAAAAAGACAUGUCACCAUAACAUUUUAUUUUCUGCUGCAGAGAAAAAGUAAAAAAAAAAAAUAUAUAUAUACAUAUAUAUAUAUAUAUUGAAGUGCCAAACAAGUAACACAAUUCACUGUUUUAGUCUUAAAUAUGAAUUAUGAUUUAAUAUUAAAAUAUUUGUGAGUUUUUGUUUUUGUUUUACUUUCUUUAAUAUCAAAUGUUUGAUAAGUUCAUUGAUGCGGCAAACAAAAAAAUGACAGUUUCAGAUAUAUUGCAUCACCCAAAAAAAUGAAUUAAUGAAAGAAAUCAAAUCAAAUCAACUCUUUCCCACUGCUGCACAUUAUGCCAUAUCCACAGAAUCUCUUUUAUGAAGUUAAUGAUAGUUAUUUCAUCCUCAGUAUAUUUUCAUAGAAAACGUUUGACUUUUGUCACGAGUUAUGAUUACGCCGUGUUGCUUCUCACCUUGCACACGAGAGCUGGUGGGUGACGUAAAGGUUCUGCUUUCCCGUCUGCAGCAUCAUUGGGAGGCAGCGGUCUCGUCAACAGACACAGCAGAUACACCUCCUCAAAUAUGUCUGACCUUUUGCUCAAUCCUAAGAAACAAAAAAUGCCAAUAACAUUGUCGUCACACAAAAGGUCCUGUUCUGUCAAAACACAAGACCUAUGAAUAAAUGAUAACAGACGUGU